AUGGGCUCCACGACCUUCUUUGUGGUCUUGAGCCUUCUCUAUGCAAAACCCAUGGAGGCUGCAGUCACCCAAAGCCCAAGAAACAAGGUGACAGUUAGAGGAAAAAAUGUGACAUUCAACUGUCACCAGACUGAUAAGCAUAACUACAUGUACUGGUAUCGGCAGGACAUGGGGCAUGGUCUGAGGCUGAUCCAUUACUCAUAUGGUUCUGGCAGCAUUGAAAAUGGAGAUAUCCCUGAUGGGUACAAGGUCUCCAGACCAAACCAAGAAAAUUUCUUCCUCACGCUGGAGUCGGCUUCCCCCUCUCAGACAUCUGUGUACUUCUGUGCCAGCAGUGAUGCACAGUAG